CUUGAAUUAAUCAAGAAGUUAUUGGUUGAUUCAGAAAUAGUAUCACGUGACGUUCUACAUGUAUAUUGUCAUUGAUAAAGAAGACAAGAUUUACAAUUUUACAUUAAAUAAUUAGAAAACAUAAAAAGACAUAAGAAUUUAUGAUUAACUUGAAGCAUAGUAUGUAGUGUCCAGGACUAAUCAAUAAUUUUUCGAAUUAAUGGCUCCAACAAUCCAUUGUUGAUCGUACCCUGGGCAGUAAAUAACUUGUCAUUCAUGUGAGCCAUGUGAAUAUCAACGGCUAAAAAGUCACAAAAUGACCGUUAGCAAUGCUCUGCAACUCUGUUAACGGAGAAAUGAUCAUGGGUGCUCAACGGAGGAAAAAGAUCACCUAAUCCAGAGCACCAAGAAGAUCAAAAGCACUACUGAUCACGAAGAUGCUGUCAUGGGUUAAGCUGUGUCACAGGAAACCAACAACGGUGACCUCAGUUCUAAACCUCAAAGCCCUAAAGCCAUGGCGGAGGACAAAGACUCUCAAAAUGGGGAACCUACUAUUGCUGAUAACCAAGCAACUGCUGAGGUUUUUGAAGCCCCAAAAUCUUUCAAACAAGCCCUCAUGCGUUCAAGAUUCAACAAAACUGUGAAUGAAAAGAACUUCGAUUGCGAUGUGGAGUCUCUUUCCUCUGAUGAGGAUGAACCAACAAUCACAGAUCUAUUUGAGAAAGAGAAUGAGGCUAUGGCGAAGGAGUGAGAUGGAUUCUCCAAAGUCACGAUCCCAACCAACUUGUUGAAGAAAGUCAAAGAACCGUGGAGGAAAUGUUUGAUUGUACGACUUUUGGGGAAAAUUAUAGGCUAUAAGUUGUUUAUGGCCAAAGUCACAAAUAUUUGGGGUCUUCAAGGCAAUUUGGAAGUCCUAGAUAUUGGACAUGGUUUUUUUAUCGUUAAAUUUGAUAUUAUAGAAGAUUAUACUAAGGUAAUCACGGGCAAACCAUGGGUAGCCCUAGAUCAUUUUGUAACUGUUAAAAGAUGGCAACAAGAUUUUAAAUCGGAUAAGGUGGAGAAGGAUACUACAGCAAUGUGGGUGAGGUUUCCUAAUCUGCCCAUAGAAUACUAUAAUGAGAAAGUUCUACUUCACAUGGCGAAGGUGUUAGGAACUCCACUAAAGAUUGACAUCAACACAGCCAUGGUAGCAAGAAGAGGAUAUGCUCGGGUUUACGUUAAAAUAGACCUUCGCAAGCCACUAAUCUCCCAAAUCGCGAUAGGUAAAUACGUAUAUAAUGUUGAAUAUGAACAUUUGCACUUAUUUUGCUUUUCCUGUGGCAGGGUAGGUGUAACGACCCCAAAAUCCGUAUCAGAAAUUGUCUUUAUGCCCUUGUGGGUUAAUGCCUUUUAAUUUAAUGAUAUCUGUUCUGACCGAGGAAUUAUCUGCUGAGCUACGACUUUAGAAUUGAAAUUACCGACGUUUACGGGUUCAAAAAUCAAAAUUGAGUACUUGGGUAUGUUAAUGGGAAUUUUUAGAACUAUUUGAAAAAAUUAAUUGGAAAUCUAAUUUGUCUGAUUUGUUAAAGCACGUUUGGGUGGUUUAUUUUGUACUGCAAAUUGAAGGCCUUAGAGGCUUCAGAAACCAGAACAGAAGACAUAUUUAUGAUCAGCACAAUUUUUAGAAUCACCUGAGAAGUUUAAUUGAAAUUUGAUUUCGUGCGAUUCGUAAGGCCGCGUUUGGCUCGCCCUAUUGUGUUAAACUUAUAUGUGUGUAUAUUUUAAUGUAUAUAUGUAUGUGAGAGGAGGAGUUGAACUCAUCUCUUAGAGCCCAAAAAUAUCUGGAGGAGGAGAGAGGAUGAUACGUGAGAGAGAGGGGGGGGAGAGAGAACUCAAAGAGAAGAAAUGGAAGAAGACAUUAAAGACUUGGCUUGAAUUCAUCAUAGUUAUGCAAAAACAAGUGAUGGAAAAGGUUUAAGGUCGAGACGAGGACAUCGUCCCAUUACUACCGGGAACUGUUCAUUGUGAGCCAUCGGAGAUUGACACUAGAGCUGGACUGAGGUUCACCUGUCUGCCAAGUCACCUGGGGUAUGCCUCCGUGUGGAGGCCUUAAUUUGUGUUGGGAGUCAUAUAAAUUAUUAAGUCUUAUGUAAGUAUGUGUGAGAUCUAUAUAAAUUCUAUGAUUGUACAUGUACAUAUGGGAGUGUAUUUAAAUGCUUAAAUCUAAUUAAGCCAUCAUGUAUGCACAAGCUCAAUGGAUGUUGUCUUUUAUUAA